ACUCAAAUGAAUUGACGGGGACCCGCACAACCAGUGGAGCGUGUGGUUCAAUUUGAGACGAAGCAAAAAACCUCACCAGGGAUUGACAUGUAUUCGUUUAGUCCUGAUGAAAGUCGGGAUGAUCUUAUGAAAAUAAGAUGAUUACACAGGUGUUGCAUGGCUGUCGUCAGCUCGUGCCGUGAGGUGUUCCAUUAAGUUGGGAAACGAGUGCAACCCCUAUCCAAUGUUAAAUAUUCAUUGGAGACCGCCCCUCAUCUUUGUUUAUGAAUCUUUGAUUCGUAGGUAAAGGUGAGGGGAGGAAGGAGGGGCGGACGUCAAGUCAGCAUGACCCUUAUACCCUGGGCUACACACACCCUACAAUGGCGAAAAACAAUGGGUUGCAAGACCGUGAGGUCAAGCUAAUCCCUGAAAUUUCGCCUCAGUUCAGAUUGGAGUCUGAAACCCGACUCCAUGAAGGCGGAAUUGGUAGUAAUCGCGGAUCAGCAGGCCGCGGUGAAUGCGUUCUCGGGUCUUGCACACACCGCCCGU
rnacentral:rRNA from 1 species